rnacentral:rRNA from 1 species
GUUGUAUGGUUAAGUGACUAAGCGUACACGGUGGAUGCCUUGGCAGUCAGAGGCGAUGAAAGACGUAGUAACUUGCGAUAAGCCCAGAUUAGGUAGUAACAACCAUUGAGUCUGGGAUUUCUGAAUGGGGAAACCCACUUACAUAAGUAAGUAUCAUUAACUGAAUACAUAGGUUAAUGAGGCGAACCGGGGGAACUGAAACAUCUAAGUACCCCGAGGAAAAGAAAUCAAC